ACAAACGCUGGCGGCGUGCUUACACAUGCAGUCGAACGAUGAAGCUGGAGCUUGCUCCGGUGGAUUAGUGGCGAACGGGUGAGUAACACGUGAGCAAUCUGCCCUUCACUCUGGGAUAACUACGGGAAACUGUAGCUAAUACCGGAUACGAUCCCUAGGGGCACUCCCUGGGGAUGGAAAGAAUUUCGGUGAAGGAUGAGCUCGCGGCCUAUCAGCUAGUUGGUGAGGUAAUGGCUCACCAAGGCGACGACGGGUAGCCGGCCUGAGAGGGUGACCGGCCACACUGGAACUGAGACACGGUCCAGACUCCUACGGGAGGCAGCAGUGGGGAAUAUUGCACAAUGGGCGAAAGCCUGAUGCAGCAACGCCGCGUGAGGGAUGAAGGCCUUCGGGUUGUAAACCUCUUUUAGCAGGGAAGAAGGGUAACUGACGGUACCUGCAGAAAAAGCACCGGCUAACUACGUGCCAGCAGCCGCGGUAAUACGUAGGGUGCAAGCGUUGAUCCGGAAUUAUUGGGCGUAAAGAGCUCGUAGGCAGGUUAUGUCGCGUCUGCUGUGAAAAUCCAAUGCUCAACAUUGGACCUGCAGUGGGUACGGGCAGACUAGAGUGCGGUAGGGGAGAAGGGAAUUCCUGGUGUAACAGGUGGAAUGCGCAGAUAUCAGGGAGGAACACCGAAUUGCA
rnacentral:rRNA from 1 species